rnacentral:rRNA from 1 species
GGCAGCAGUGGGGAAUCUUCCACAAUGGGCGCAAGCCUGAUGGAGCAACACCGCGUGAGUGAAGAAGGGUUUCGGCUCGUAAAACUCUGUUGUUGAAGAAGAACGUGCGUGAGAGUAACUGUUCACGCAGUGACGGUAUUCAACCAGAAAGUCACGGCUAACUACGUGCCAGCAGCCGCGGUAAUACGUAGGUGGCAAGCGUUAUCCGGAUUUAUUGGGCGUAAAGCGAGCGCAGGCGGUUACUUAAGUCUGAUGUGAAAGCCUUCGGCUUAACCGAAGAAGUGCAUCGGAAACUGGGUGACUUGAGUGCAGAAGAGGACAGUGGAACUCCAUGUGUAGCGGUGGAAUGCGUAGAUAUAUGGAAGAACACCAGUGGCGAAGGCGGCUGUCUGGUCUGCAACUGACGCUGGGGCUCGAAAGCAUGGGUAGCGAACAGGAUUAGAUACCCUGGUAGUCCAUGCCGUAAACGAUGAGUGCUAAGUGU